AAGUCGUAACAAGGUUUCCGUAGGUGAACCUGCGGAAGGAUCAUUAAAAGAGUUUGUUUUUUGGGGUUUUCCCUGAAAAAUAAUUCACCUUUUGUGCAUUGUUAUUAGAUAUACUUUGGUUAGAGCUUUGAUUUCAUUUAAUGGAAUCAACUUCUUGCCGACUCUAUCCUUUCUGAGGACAGUUGGCUAUGAAGCGGCCUACCAAGGUUUUUUAUCAAACUCUUUUAUUUUGUCUGACCUAAAAACAAAUAAUUAAAUCAUAACUUUCAACAACGGAUCUCUUGGCUCUC
rnacentral:misc_RNA from 1 species